rnacentral:rRNA from 1 species
CUAUGCGCCUACCAUGGUCGUAACGGGUAACGGGGAAUCAGGGUUCGNUUCCGGAGAGGGAGCCUGAGAAACGGCUACCACAUCCAAGGAAGGCAGCAGGCGCGCAAAUUACCCNCUCCCGGCCCGGGGAGGUAGUGNCGAAAAAUAACAAUACGGGACUCUNUUGAGGCCCCGUAAUUGGAANGAGUACACUCUAAAUCCUUUAACGAGGAUCUAUUGGAGGGCAANUNUGGUGCCAGCAGCCGCGGUAAUUCCAGCUCCAAUAGCGUAUAUUAAAGUUGUUGCGGUUAAAAAGCUCGUAGUUGGAUCUCNGUUACAGACGGGCGGUCCACUUUACGGUGGUUACUGCCCGGCCUGAACGUCCUGCCGGUUUUUCUCUAGGUGCUCUUCACUGAGUGUCUAGAGUGGCCGACACGUUUNCUUUGAAAAAAUUAGAGUGCUCAAAGCAGGCGUGACGCCUGAAUAAUGGUGCAUGGAAUAAUGGAAUAGGACCUCGGUUCUAUUGUGUUGGUUUUCGGANNNNNNNNNNAUGAUUAAGAGGGACAGACGGGGGCAUUCGUAUUGCGACGCUAGA